rnacentral:rRNA from 1 species
CUACGGGAGGCAGCAGUGGGGAAUCUUGCACAAUGGGCGAAAGCCUGAUGCAGCAACGCCGCGUGCGGGAAGAAGGCCCUAGGGUUGUAAACCGCUUUCAGUAGGGAAGAAAAUGACGGUACCUACAGAAGAAGGUGCGGCCAACUACGUGCCAGCAGCCGCGGUGACACGUAGGCACCAAGCGUUAUCCGGAUUUAUUGGGCGUAAAGAGCUCGUAGGCGGUUCGGUAAGUCGGGUGUGAAAACUCUGGGGCUCAACCCAGAGAGGCCACCCGAUACUGCUGUGACUAGAGUGCGGUAGGGGAGCGGGGAAUUCCUGGUGUAGCGGUGAAAUGCGCAGAUAUCAGGAGGAACACCAGCGGCGAAGGCGCCGCUCUGGGCCGUAACUGACGCUGAGGAGCGAAAGCAUGGGUAGCAAACAGGAUUAGAUACCCUGGUAGUCCGAUGCCGUAAACGUUGGGCACUAGGUGUGGGUCUCAACCAACGAGAUCCGCGCCGUCGCUAACGCAUUAAGUGCCCCGCCUGGGGAGUACGGUCGCAAGCUAAAACUCAAAGAUAGUGCGNGNGAGAGCGACGACGACGACGAGGAGGAG